rnacentral:rRNA from 1 species
AUUGAACGCUGGCGGCAGGCCUAACACAUGCAAGUCGAGCGGGGUUUUCGGACCUAGCGGCGGACGGGUGAGUAAUGCGUAGGAAGCUACCCGAUAGAGGGGGAUACCAGUUGGAAACGACUGUUAAUACCGCAUAAUGUCUACGGACCAAAGUGUGGGACCUUCGGGCCACAUGCUAUCGGAUGCGCCUACGUGGGAUUAGCUAGUUGGUGGGGUAAUGGCUCACCAAGGCGACGAUCCCUAGCUGGUUUGAGAGGAUGAUCAGCCACAAUGGAACGGAGACACGGUCCAGACUCCUACGGGAGGCAGCAGUGGGGAAUAUUGGACAAUGGGCGCAAGCCUGAUCCAGCCAUGCCGCGUGUGUGAAGAAGGCCUUCGGGUUGUAAAGCACUUUCAGUAGGGAGGAAGGGGGUUGUGUUAAUAGCACAGCAUUUUGACGUUACCUACAGAAGAAGCACCGGCUAACUCUGUGCCAGCAGCCGCCGUAAGAC